AGUUUGAUCCUGGCUCAGGACGAACGCUGGCGGCGUGCCUAACACAUGCAAGUCGAACGGGACUGUUUCGGAGCUUGCUUCGAAGCAGUCUAGUGGCGGACGGGUGAGUAACGCGUGAGGAACCUGCCUUUCAGAGGGGGAUAACGUCUGGAAACGGACGCUAAUACCGCAUGACAUCAGAGGGUCACAUGGUCUUCUGAUCAAAGGAGCAAUCCGCUGGAAGAUGGACUCGCGUCCGAUUAGCCAGUUGGCGGGGCAACGGCCCACCAAAGCGACGAUCGGUAGCCGGACUGAGAGGUUGAACGGCCACAUUGGGACUGAGACACGGCCCAGACUCCUACGGGAGGCAGCAGUGGGGGAUAUUGCACAAUGGAGGAAACUCUGAUGCAGCAACGCCGCGUGAGGGAAGACGGUCUUCGGAUUGUAAACCUCUGUCUUCGGUGACGAUAAUGACGGUAGCCGAGGAGGAAGCUCCGGCUAACUACGUGCCAGCAGCCGCGGUAAUACGUAGGGAGCGAGCGUUGUCCGGAUUUACUGGGUGUAAAGGGUGCGUAGGCGGCUCUGCAAGUCAGGUGUGAAAACCAUGGGCUUAACUCAUAGAUUGCACUUGAAACUGUGGGGCUUGAGUGGAGUAGAGGCAGGCGGAAUUCCCGGUGUAGCGGUGAAAUGCGUAGAGAUCGGGAGGAACACCAGUGGCGAAAGCGGCCUGCUGGGCUUU
rnacentral:rRNA from 1 species